GAUGAAGAACGUAGCGAAAUGCGAUAAGUAAUGUGAAUUGCAGAAUUCAGUGAAUCAUCGAAUCUUUGAACGCACCUUGCGCUCCUUGGUAUUCCGAGGAGCAUGCCUGUUUGAGUGUCAUUAAAUUCUCAACCUCAUCAGUUUUGUUAUGAAGCUGUGUGAGGCUUGGAUGUGGGGGUUUGUGCAGGCUGCCUCAGUGCGGUCUGCUCCCCUGAAAUGUAUUAGCGAGUUCCAACUGGGCUCCGUCUAUUGGUGUGAUAAUUAUCUACGCCGUGGAUUGGGCUUAGACUUGCUACUAACCGUCCGCAAGGACAAUCUUUUGACAAUUUGACCUCAAAUCAGGUAGGACUACCCGCUGAACUUAAGCAUAUCAAUAAGCGGAGGA
rnacentral:misc_RNA from 1 species